GAUGAAGAACGUAGCGAAAUGCGAUAAGUAGUGUGAAUUGCAGAAUUCAGUGAAUCAUCGAAUCUUUGAACGCACAUUGCGCUCUCUGGUAUUCCGGAGAGCAUGCUUGUUUGAGUAUCAGUAAACACCUCAACUCCUUUAUUGUAGUUGGACUUGAGCUAUCCCAACAGGACUUUUUGUUCCUGGCGGGAGGCUUGAAAUGCAGGUGCAGCUGGACUUUCUUCUGAGCUAUAAGCAUAUUUAUUUAAUCCCUUAACACGGAUUAUUACUUUUUUGCUGCAGCUAACAUAAAGGUUGAAUUUCCAUUGAGCUGACUGAUGCAGGAAUUUGGCAAGGAAUUUUUUUAAUGACUUGUUAAACUCGAUCUCAAAUCAAGUAAGACUACCCGCUGAACUUAAGCAUAUCAAUAAGCGGAGGA
rnacentral:misc_RNA from 1 species